UAGGGAAUAUUAGUAAUGGGCGAAAGCCUGAACUAGCAACGCCGCGUGUGCGAAGAAGGCCUUCGGGUUGUAAAGCACUUUUAGAGAGGAUGAGGAAGGACGGUACUCUCAGAAUAAGUCUCGGCUAACUACGUGCCAGCAGCCGCGGUAACACGUAGGAGGCGAACGUUAUCCGGAUUUACUGGGCGUAAAGCGCGUGUAGGUGGUUUGGUAAGUAGGGCGUGAAAGCUCCCGGCUCAACUGGGAGAGGCCGUUCUAAACUGCCAAGCUAGAGGGUGGUAGAGGGAGGUGGAAUUGCGGGUGUAGCGGUGGAAUGCGGAGAUAUCCGGAGGAACACCAGUGGCGAAGGCGGCCUCCUGGGCCACUCCUGACACUCAGACGCGAAAGCUAGGGUAGCAAACGG
rnacentral:rRNA from 1 species